AUGGCCCGGCGCCUCCUCGCCCUGGUAGUGCAGCUGUUUCGCAUCGGAGCUCCGCCAUCCGGCGCCGGCGCCGGCGACCGCCAUCGUCCCGUGCAUCUGCGCCCAACGAAAUGGAAGCCUGCGUCUCCACGACCCGGGCUCUGGUCGCUCAUCAAGCGCUCCGUCAAGUCCAAGGUCUCUCCCGGCCCCUCCCCCUCCUCCUCCUCCUCCGUACUUGCUUCCUUGGUCGCCCUCUGUUUCUUAGUUCCACAGUCUGCCCUCCUUUCUAUCGAACCAAAGAACCAGUUCAGAGAAAUGCGAACACUGGUCGGGGUUCUAAGGAGGAUGACCCAAAAUGGGAGCAUGACAGACACCAUGUCUACAAAUUAA
rnacentral:rRNA from 1 species